UACGUAGGGUGCGAGCGUUAAUCGGAAUUACUGGGCGUAAAGCGCGCGCAGGCGGUUUUGUAAGUCAGAUGUGAAAUCCCCGGGCUUAACCUGGGAACUGCGUUUGAAACUACAAGGCUAGAGUGUGGCAGAGGGGGGUGGAAUUCCACGUGUAGCAGUGAAAUGCGUAGAGAUGUGGAGGAACACCGAUGGCGAAGGCAGCCCCCUGGGUUAACACUGACGCUCAGGCACGAAAGCGUGGGGAGCAAACAGG
rnacentral:rRNA from 1 species